ACAAAUUCAUAAAACAAACACCCUGAAAUCACCAUUGCAUGGUUUAAACUUCUAACCGCAAUCACAGAGAUUCACAAUCAUAGCCCUCCUCCGCACACAUUUUUGCAUCAAGAAAAAAGGUGGCAAGAUCAUGGUGACUGAAGGCGAAAUGAAGGAGAAGAGAAAGCCGAGGUUUCUGUGCCUUCAUGGGUUCAGAACAAGUGGUCAUAUUCUCAAAACACAGCUGCGAAAAUGGCCUGACUCUGUUCUUGAUCAGCUCGAUUUGGUUUUCCCGGAUGCUCCUUUUCCGUGCUCCGGGAAAUCUGACGUCGAGGGGAUCUUUGAUCCUCCUUAUUAUGAAUGGUUCCAAUUCAACAAGGAGUUUACGGAGUACACUAAUUUUGAUGAGUGUCUUGCUUUUAUUGAAGACUUGAUGAUAAAGAAUGGACCCUUUGAUGGGCUGCUUGGUUUCUCACAGGGAUCAAUUCUGUCAGCUGCACUUCCUGGACUACAAGCUAAGGGUAUAGCUCUUUCGAAAGUGCCCAAAAUCAAGUUUCUGAUAAUAGUGGGUGGAGCUAAGUUUAUGAACAAAGCAGUGGCUGAAAAUGCUUACUCUUCCCCAAUUCAGUGCCCAUCUUUACACUUUAUAGGCUUAGUACACCUCUAUCCGUGCUGCAGGAGAGACGGAUUUUCUAAAGCAAUAUGGGGUUGAGCUUAUUGAACACUUUGUCGACCCUGUUGUUAUUCAUCAUCCGAAAGGUCACACUAUACCACGACUUGAUGAGAAGGGUUUGGAGAUGAUGUUGAGCUUUCUGGAAAGGAUUCAGAAGUGACGACGAGUUAGAUGAACACUAGAGUUGUUACAGCCUGCAUCAAAAUGAUUUCGACUUGUUCCCACCACAUUAUGAGACUUGUAGAGCAUAAGUAGCAAUCAUAUCGGUACAUGUAAGGCCUCGAAGGGGAAGUAGCUCAAUUGGUAGAGUAUUAUACACAUGUAUUAUCCCCGAUCCUCGUUUCUUCAUAAAAUUUUCUAAUUAUGUUGAAUUC